AAACCAGCACCUCAAGUGGUCAGGAUGAUUAUUGGGCCUAAAGCAUCCGUAGCCUGAUCUGUAAGUUUUCGGUUAAAUCUGUACGCUCAACGUACAGGCUGCCGGGAAUACUGCAGAUCUAGGGAGUGGGAGAGGUAGACGGUACUCGGGAGGAAGUGGUAAAAUGCUUUGAUCUCUCGAUGACCACCUGUGGCGAAGGCGGUCUACCAGAACACGUCCGACGGUGAGGGAUGAAAGCUGGGGGAGCAAACCGGAUUAGAAACCCGUGUAGUCC
rnacentral:rRNA from 1 species